rnacentral:rRNA from 1 species
CCCUUAGAUGUUCUGGGCCGCAUGCGCGCUACACUGACGAAUGCAACGAGCUUAUAACCUUGGCCGAAAGGUCUGGGUAAUCUCCAAAUUUCGUCGUGAUGGGGAUAGAUUAUUGCAAUUAUUAAUCUUCAACGAGGAAUGCCUAGUAAGCGCAAGUCAUCAGCUUGCGUUGAUUACGUCCCUGCCCUUUGUACACACCGCCCGUCGCUCCUACCGAUUGAAUGGUCCGGUGAAGCGUUCGGACCGUGGCCUUUGGACGGUUCGCCGUCUGUUGGCUGCGGGAAGUUCGUUAAACCUUAUCAUUUAGAGGAAGGAGAANUCGUAACA